rnacentral:lncRNA from 1 species
CUUUGGCUAUUUGAGGAGAAAGUAUGGUAAAUUGCGCGUACGUCGACACUGUUGCGGGGCAGUUUGAAUGGAGGCCCCUGCGUUGGUUGGGUCUCUAUAAUAGCCUCUCCGCUUUUAGCCAGCUGCCUAAAGACCCAACAAGCUCAAAGCAUGUGGGUCGUGACAGUGUUAGGUAGUACGGGGUGCAUGUGACAUGGGCUAUCCAACAGCUUGUCCAGUACGGUUUGGGAUCCGUCAAGGGGUUUGCUCAUUUUCUUCGAAGGCCCGUACUCAACUAAUCUAUGUUGGAGUAUGCGUUUCUGCCGAACUUCUCCGGGCUGGAGAAGUAGAUGUAAUCUCAACCAGCACGAUGGCAUGGUGGAGAUGAUGGUGGAGCAGUGCCAGCAGGGCUUCGCCAAGCGCUGCCGGAACCGAUAUGAGGAGAAAACAAAGUUAUGGGAGAGGUAGGGCUGCCAUCGGGGCGUG